rnacentral:lncRNA from 14 species
AACCACUAGAGGAUGCAGUGUGACAAGGGGCAUCGCCAGCUCACAGCCAGGAAGGGCAAGUUGGCUGAACUGCUCUUUCUUUCCUGUAGGGGUGGCUUUGUUUCCCUUGAGGCAAGGUUAAGGUAACUUCUAAGCAAUUGUGGAGUGAGGCCCCACCUCUCCCAGCCGGAUCUGCAAGCUCGGGUUACUCUGCCUGUGUGGUUGACGGAAGCCUGCAGUGAGCCUUAUGCCUGCUUGCUGCCCACUGCCUCCUGCAGCUCGGAACCUUCCUGGCAGCCGGGCAAAGGAGCAGUUUGCACAGCUCAGACCUUACUAUUAGGGAGAUUUGCUGGGAAACAACAGGUCAGAGAUGGACUAACAGCACUUGAGAAGGGAUUCAGCGACCGGACCGGUGCAGACAGCAGCUGAGCAGUACCUUCUUUCAUGGAAUGUGCUUAGGAAAAUCCAUGUCCUUCCCGGAGAAGCCAUCAGGGGCACGACUCUGGCAGUGAUGGCUCUGACUUCACCUGCCUCUGCAAAUGAGUCACGGAGCGUUAUAAAAAGCAAGGACCUGCCAAGUCUCACUUCUUGGAACUGAGUGGAAAUUUCAGCAGGCAGCUGCUCUUUCAUUAGUUUAUGCUUUUCCUCUGCGGGUUUCUUGAAGAAGGCCUGGGAUCACAUCAGCUUUCUAGCACAAAGGACCUGUUGCUAUGUAUGGAUAACUGUGGAUCAGUCCUGGAAGUCUCUGUGUGUUUGGUCUAAAUCUGAUUUUGAUCUUCACGAGGAAUCUUGGUGACACCUGGAAGAAGGGUCGGGACAUAAUUAAGAGUGAUUUGUCCUGUUGGGCAACUGCCUUCUGAGUGACUGGAGAGAUGCCAGCCUUUUGAUCUGAAUCAAGCAGUGGCAGGGACAGCAUCUACCCAGGGUUUAAAUCCCAGGCACGUGUCAUUUGCACAAGUAGUUACUGAUUGUUUCCCUCAGUAAGAGACUAUAAGAAUGAAUGGACAUAUAUCAAACACCCCUCCUGGUGGAUAUGGAAGUUAUUUUCCUCAAAUGAAUGGCUAUGGUUCCCCAACAUUUGCCCAGUCAGAGAGGGAGCAGAAUUCAAGAACAAGUGCAAAAGCUCUUUAUGGUAAGGCGGCAUGAA